AUUUAAACCUGAUAGAAACGGAAAUACUUUUUGUGUUCAAAAUGAGAAAGAUUGCCACGUCGUUCCUCCUCGCAAUGACGAUAAUGGAUGGAAUGGCUGAAGUUAGAAAAGAUUGAAGUGUAUAGCAGGACUGAAC
rnacentral:sRNA from 1 species